rnacentral:rRNA from 1 species
AAUCACUUGUCUUUUAAAUGAAGACCUGUAUGAAUGGCAUCACGAGGGCUUAACUGUCUCCCCUCUCCAGUCAAUGAAAUUGACCUCCCCGUGCAGAGGCGGGGAUAUUUAUAUAAGACGAGAAGACCCUGUGGAGCUUUAGACCUAAAGUAAACCACGUUUAAUGUACUAAAAUUAAUAGCAAAAACUUAGUGGGCAUUUAUUUAAGUGUCUUUGGUUGGGGCGACCACGGAGUAAAACAUAACCUCCAUGUGGACGGGGAUACUUUCCCUGAAACUCAGAGCCUCCACUCCAAGCAACAGAAAUUCUGACCUUACUGAUCCGGUACAACCGAUUAACGAACCCAGUUACCCCAGGGAUAACAGCGCAAUCCCCUCUCAGAGCUCAUAUCGACGAGGGGGUUUACGACCUCGAUGUUGGAUCAGGACAUCCUAGUGGUGCAGCCGCUA